AAGCAGAUAAACCAAAAUAUCGACACAUUAACACAGGAAGAUUCGGAUGUGGUUAUCCACCAAAACUCAAACCAGAAGAACAAGAGUAUCCCAAGGCACUGCAGUAUUCUCAUGGUGUUGGGGCAGUUAGGAUCAGAAAACACCCUGGAGGCUAACUUCAAGAUUCCAGGGAGGGGAGGAGAUUCUGAGAGUCUAGACUCUUCACAGCAAGUAGAAGCCCCUAGUUGCAGGGGUGAAGAGAUAGCAGCCUAAUGUAGGCAGGGCACCACUCCCCCUAUCUCUCCAGAGAACAACUUGGUUCACUUUGACAAUCAGCUCUGCUCAGAUUGCUGGGCACACUCAAGACUCAAAGGAUGUGGUUACCAUGGUGACUCUGCCUCUGUGAUGGAAUCUAACUUUGUGUCUGAUCCCUUGUACAUUGCUGGGGUGUGGCUGGGAGAACUGUAUGUAAUGGUGACUCAGAAAAAAAUUAGGACUGAAACUAGCCCAGAAGUACUGAGGUUAGCCCAAGAACAAAAGAAAGACCCUUGGCUAAUACACAGAAAGGGAGGACAUAAUCUUUCCAUUUUCUGUUAAAGUCCUAGGAAAAUUAGUUUUUUAAACAGAAAUUGAUGACUCCCUGCUGCCACAGUUCUUUUCUUUUCCAAUGGAUCACUCAUUAAAUUCAUAUUGGUAUUACUCUAUUGCUGAAAGCCCUCUAUUUAAAUGCCAGGAUUUCCUCCACAGCCAGGGCACAUCUGACUCAAGUCAGAAGAGAGAGAAGCAUCCUGCUGCAUUUAUCUUCAAGAAGGAAGAAAAUCAGAGGCCAAGGGCAGCCCUGCUCCUACCAGGCAGCCACAGGCCCUCCAAGCCCAGGGGACCUUGCCGACACAACGACAAAGGCGGAGAGAUAGAAUGAGUGCAUCCGGAGGAGUGCUGAAAACUCACCUGCAAAGGCUCAACAUCGCCACUGUGCCUCCUUCCUUUCCAAUCUCCCUUCCCUCCAAAUUCCACAACCUAACCCCUACAUCUCUACCCGCGGCAUGUCAACCCGGUUCUUAGUGAACGGAAACUCACACUUAACUGCCGUGUUGUUUUAUCAUUACCACUAGCUGUGGCAGAGUGGGG
rnacentral:lncRNA from 1 species